UACGUAGGGGGCAAGCGUUGUCCGGAAUCAUUGGGCGUAAAGCGCGUGUAGGCGGCUCGGUAAGUCCGCUCUGAAAGUCCAGGGCUCAACCCUGGGAUGCGGGUGGAUACUGCCGGGCUCGAGUCCGGAAGAGGCGAGUGGAAUUCCCGGUGUAGCGGUGAAAUGCGCAGAUAUCGGGAGGAACACCAAUGGCGAAGGCAGCUCGCUGGGACGUGACUGACGCUGAGACGCGAAAGCAUGGGGAGCAAACAGG
rnacentral:rRNA from 1 species